GGAGCUCCUGCAGGGACGAGCUGGGAACACACGAGAUGGAUAAAUGUUGGCUGCUGGAGAGCCUGUCUUAGUUCGUGUGUUCUCAGGUCGCCCCUGUUGGUGCUCU
rnacentral:pre_miRNA from 1 species